CCCUGGUUAGCUCAGUUGGUAGAGCGCUCCCCUCAAAAUUGAGUGGUCACUGGUUGGAUACCAGGACCAGGCG
rnacentral:tRNA from 1 species